rnacentral:rRNA from 1 species
UACGUAGGGAGCAAGCGUUGUCCGGAAUCAUUGGGCGUAAAGCGCGCGUAGGCGGCCCUGUAAGUCCGUUGUGAAAGUCAAAGGCUCAACCUUCGAAAGCCGAUGGAUACUGCAGGGCUAGAGUCCGGAAGAGGCGAGUGGAAUUCCUGGUGUAGCGGCGGAAUGCGCAGAUAUCAGGAGGAACACCAAUAGCAAAGGCAGCUCGCUGGGACGGUACUGACGCUAAGGCGCGAAAGCGUGGGGAGCGAACAGG